rnacentral:lncRNA from 1 species
ACUCUUGUAUGGAAUGCUUAACAUAGUAUGUGGCACAUAGUAAGACUUUAAUUCAUCUAUCACCUAUUUUUCCACUUACAUAUCUAAUCAAUAAUUUAUGGCAUGUUUAUUAGAUAGCCUCAAAUUGCUAAGUUAAGAAUCUACCUGAUUCUUGAAUUGAAGAAUUUAUCUCACAAUAAUGCUCCAUAGUGCCUACAAUCUGAAUCUCUUCUCUUUUCUUGGCCAUUCAGGAUUUAUCAUGCUCAGAACAAAAAGUUUACUUUAAAAAAAAUGUUAAACACUGCAAUGUUAAGAAAAUAGCAAGGAAUGAUCAGCAUAAAACCCAUUAAAUAUCAUCACUAUCCUGGAUCACUCUCCCCACAUCUCCCAGUUCCUAGUCCUCAACCACAGGCAGAACAUAAGACUUGCCAGUUGACAAACCCAGAAGGCAUCGCUUUCUUAUAUUUGUGCACUGAUAUUUCAUCAUUAGACAGAUAAAUAUCCUUUGGGUCCUCCAGCCACAGAAGCUCCCACAAAGGAUGAGGUCUAAUGUGAGUCAUGACCACACCAAGUCCUCAAGUCUGACCUGCACAGGAAUGGAGAAAGUAUCAAUAAAUACAUCUCUACAGCAAGAUGGGAUGUGACU